AUUGAACGCUGGCGGCAGGCCUAACACAUGCAAGUCGAACGAGUGGCGGACGGGUGAGUAAUGUCUGGGAAACUGCCCGUUGGAGGGGGAUAACUACUGGAAACGGUAGCUAAUACCGCAUACCAUCGGAUGUGCCCAGAUGGGAUUAGCUAGUGGGUGGGGUAACGGCUCACCUAGGCGACGAUCCCUAGCUGGUCUGAGAGGAGGACCAGCAAAAAUGGAAUGGAGACACGGUCCAGACUCCUACGGGAGGAAGCAGUGGGGAAUAUUGCACAAUGGGGGAAAGCCGGAUGCAGACAUGCCGCGUGUAUGAAGAAGGCUUUCGGGUUGUAAAGUACUUUCAGCGAGGAGGCGUUACUCGAAGAAGAAGCACCGGCUAACUCCGUGCCAGCCGCCGCGGUAAUUC
rnacentral:rRNA from 1 species